rnacentral:rRNA from 1 species
ACGGGUGAGUAACGCGUAAUCAACCUGCCCUUCAGAGGGGGACAACAGUUGGAAACGACUGCUAAUACCGCAUACGAUCUAAUCUCGGCAUCGAGGAUGGAUGAAAGGUGGCCUCUAUGUAUAAGCUAUCACUGAAGGAGGGGAUUGCGUCUGAUUAGCUAGUUGGAGGGGUAACGGCCCACCAAGGCGUCGACGGGUAGCCGGCCUGAGAGGGUGGACGGCCACAUUGGGACUGAGAUACGGCCCAGACUCCUACGGGAGGCAGCAGUGGGGAAUAUUGCACAAUGGGCGCAAGCCUGAUGCAGCGACGCCGCGUGGGGGAUGACGGCCUUCGGGUUGUAAACUCCUUUCGUUAGGGACGAAGCCACACCUUUUUUGGGUGUGGUGACGGUACCUUUGUUAAGAAGCACCGGCUAACUACGUGCCAGCAGCCGCGGUAAUACGUAGGGUGCGAGCGUUGUCCGGAAUUACUGGGCGUAAAGAGCUCGUAGGUGGUUUGUUGCGUCGUCUGUGAAAUUCCGGGGCUUAACUUCGGGGUGGCAGGCGAUACGGGCAUAACUAGAGUGCUGUAGGGGAGACUGGAAUUCCUGGUGUAGCGGUGGAAUGCGCAGAUAUCAGGAGGAACACCGAUGGCGAAAGCAGGUCUCUGGGCAGUAACUGACGCUGAGGAGCGAAAGCAUGGGGAGCGAACAGGAUUAGAUACCCUGGUAGUCCAUGCUGUAAAC